rnacentral:misc_RNA from 1 species
UUAUGAUCCAGCACAUCAGCUUGACAGGAGUAAAAACUCUAUGUCCUUGAGAUCGCAUUUUCCCGUACAAGCAAAUCUGUUUCAUGCCUGUGACCUUCAUUUGCCAUCAAGUCUGCCCGCUGGUUUGGUUCUCUCCAAAUGUAGUUAUUGUUCGCCUUGUUGACUUUGGGACUUGAGUAGGUAUCUGCAGUCAUUACUAAUAGCCCAUAGAGGAUGAAACCUAUGUUUUCUUGUUGGACGUGUUUGACUGCAAGCAAAUAGUUUAAAAUCUCAUCGUUAUUGUUAAUUGUAGCCCUCUCAUCUUCCAUGGACCAGAGAUUUUGAUCUCACCCGAAAGAGUUAAUUAAACAUGCAAUGAACAUCCAUGUUCUUGGCACUUAACCAGCAACUUGCAUGAUAUUCUAUGUUUUGAUGCUUAUUAUUGUUGCUUUCUUUUAAUUCGAAAACGCAUAAACGUCUCUACUACCAAGUUUUUCUUUAACACGUCGGAGUGGUGCAUUUUAUAAUCUACUUGCUCUAUUUUUGUUCUUUUUUUCAGGUGGAAGAGGAUGAACCAG